rnacentral:misc_RNA from 1 species
AGUUAAAGUUAUAAAAUGGCUGCUCAGCUUCAGUACUUUAAGAAGGCGUUUUUUCUUUCCUUGGUUUUAGUAUCCAUCUCUCACCAUGUUAAUGCUGCCGUUGGACAAGAUGAAAAAUGUAUUGUGGACAAAACCAAGCCCGCGUCAGAGGAGGGUAACUACAUGGACUGCACGGACGAAACUCUGGUGGCCCAGGGCAAGACGGACUGCUGCGCCCAGGACGGGUCGGUGGGCUGCUGCAAGCCCGGGGAGAGAUGGGGCAAAAUGAUCGCCAUUGGAGUGGGCAUAAGUGUGACCUUUAUCGUCCUCGCUCUCCUGUAUAUUUAUCUGUUUUGGUGCAAAAGAGGCACAGUACCAUUUCUGGACCGACUGUUUGAUAGAGCCAAGGCAAAAUACUACGCUGCGGAAGAUGCUAUGCCGUAAGUGCUGUGCCAGUAGGACAGAGCAGAGGAAACAGGCUGCAGAGAUCAUGGCCAAGUCCAAGGACCAGCCGGCGCUGUCCCUCCCCGAGGACGUGCAUGACGAAACGUCCAAGGACCGCUGGUGGGACGGGCAGUUCAUCAAGAACGAAUAAACACAGACAGAAACACGGACAUCGCUGGCAAAAUUUUAUCAGUUACACAUCAAAAUGUCAUAUAAUUACAUAGCUUAAUUUAUCACUAUUAGGUGGAUAAACUAUAUUUUAUGUUACCUUCAAAGCCAUUCUCUUGUUUGUCUAUUUAAAUGAUGAAUACAGUACAAAACAGUUUAUAGCAAUCCCUUAACAGUAAAACCUGGUUAAUCCAAAUCUUGUGUAUUUCCAACUAUUCAGACAUGCAUACGUAAACUUAUUUAUAGAAUUAAUUGUUUUAAAUAUUUUUGUUUCUUGGCAAAAGUAUAUAUUUCUAUACAUGAAAAACUUUUUGUACAGUGUCCCUAUCCUGAAGUCAACAGUGCAUGCUAGCACAACAAUGUUGCUUUUCAAUAAAUGUGCAUAUAUUACUUAUACUGUAUAUCCAUAAAACAGAAAAGAAUGU